rnacentral:ncRNA from 1 species
GUCAGACCUGCGAGGAGAUGGCCAUCCAAGGUAAGUCCUCCCAUAGGGAGGCGCCAUCUCCUGCCGCCAAUCGGCGGUCUUGCAGGUCGGGAGGU